rnacentral:misc_RNA from 1 species
UUCGAGCGUCAUUACACCCCUCAAGCAUUGCUUGGUCUUGGGCUCCGCUGCUCACCCAGCGGGCCUUAAAAUCAGUGGCGGUGCCGCCGGGCCCUGAGCGCAGUAAUAUCCUCGCUCCAGGGACCCGACGGACGCUGGCCAUCGAACCCCCACUCUCUAAGUUUGACCUCGGAUCAGGUAGGGAUACCCGCUGAACUUAA